CGAAUGGGUCCAAAGACUCUUAAAACCUACCGUGCUCCCCUACGUGGAAAACAGGGAAGCCCUCCGGGGCAUAGGAAAUCUGAGAAGUUGAGAACUGCGCCCCGGCGCAUGACUAAAACAAAAAAUUA
rnacentral:misc_RNA from 1 species